GAACGCACCUUGCGCUCCUUGGUAUUCCGAGGAGCAUGCCUGUUUGAGUGUCAUUAAAUUCUCAACCUCACCAGUUUUGUUAUGAAACUGUGUAAGGCUUGGAUGUGGGGGUUUGUGCAGGUUGCCUUUGCGCGGUCUGCUCCCCUAAAAUGUAUUAGCGAGUUCACUGAGCUCCGUCUAUUGGUGUGAUAAUUAUCUACGCCGUGGAUUGGACUUAGACUUGCUUCUAACCGUCCGCAAGGACAAUCUUAUGACAAUUUGACCUCAAAUCAGGUAGGACUACCCGCUGAACUUAAG
rnacentral:misc_RNA from 2 species